rnacentral:SRP_RNA from 2 species
GUGAAUACAUAUAAUGAUACAACAAUGUGGUGGAAUGUUAGGUCGUUCCAGAUGGCUGGGCUUUGGUUGGCUUUAGUCUGGCCUGCCCUAUCCAAGAACGGAGGCGAGUCACGUGGUCCAGAUGAAAGUGUGUACUGCUUUGGCUCUUAGAGCGGGGUGGACAGCAUGAGGCUGGUUUCACAAAGCAACUAACAGCUCCCGCUUUGUGCAGUGGAAGGAUAACGAGCCGGUGCUCUCCAAGUCCAACAAAAACCUGAAGGGUUGCUUAAUUGAACCAUCACUUUU